rnacentral:lncRNA from 1 species
AUUUAUUCUCAUGCUCAUUUUGGCAUUUUAUACUUUUGCAGAAAUGUAUUCACUUUAUUUGUUCAUAUUUAAUGAUUAAUAGCAUUGCAUCAUAUUCUUCUCUUACUCUACUUUAUAAGUUCUAUUAUGUGUGUCUGUGUUAAUUUACUCAUAAUUGCAGCAUGAACAACCUUUAUUGUUAAAUAGUUUUCAAGCAUUUGUUUUCAGUUUCUCAUAUUCCAACAUUUGGAUGUACCAUGAUUUAUUUAACCAGUCUGGUGACAGGUUGUAUUUUCCAGAGAUAUAGCCACACUCUAUCUCCCAUCCCAUAUGCUCUUGACACUCCUUCCUUCAAGAGAUGAGGUCUAUAUUUCCUUCCUUUGAAAAUAGGUAGGGUUUUGACUCAUAAGUGUCCAACAGAAUGCAGCAGAAGUGAUGUUUUAUGACUUCCUAGGCUAUGCACCUUCAACCCUCUUUGUUGGAAUACAAUGAUAAGGCUACCAGAGGGAAAAAAUACUAAAGCAGUUGUUCUAGUUACUACUACUGUGUAACAAAUGAUCCCAAACUUAGUGGCUUAAAGCAAUGGUUUGAUCAUGUUCACAGGAAUGCUUGUCUCUCUUCUCGACUGUCUAGAGCCUCAACUGGGAAGAUUCAGCGACUAAGAUGACUUAACAGAUGGGGCUGGAAUCGUCUGAAUGUUUCCUUUAAUGAUUUCCUUUCGUAGAAGAAACCCUCAAAUUUGGCAGCUGUAUGCUUCAUAUUUGGAGUCUCUACAUCCAUACUCAAUCUUCUCAAUAUCAGCUUAAGAUUUUUCUUCUCUGCCAUUAAAAAGCUAAAGAAAAUUGUUGAUUGUUUACACCAAGUACUUCUAUUUCCACAAGUGCACGGUAUACCACCUUCCAUUUUGUAAAAGCAAGCUCUGUGAAGUGGAAAUUCUACAGGCAACAGUGGAAAAGGCCCACUUUCAUCUCAAGGCAUGCCUGCCCUGAUGAUCAAGCACACUUACCACACAAAUCCUCCAAGCCCGAACCACAGCGUGAAACUCGCGCUGGGUCAGGCGCCACGGCACGGCCAGGACUGUGACACGACGUCAUUGUGGCCACUGUGUUCUCUUCUAAUACCCUGCCUCUCCAGGCAAAACGCCAAGGGCAAGGGUAGGAGAGAAAUUCCGCUGCAAAACUCCACAGUCAGCCAAAGCAAGGUAUGUGUGCCCCUGCCUCAUGGUGUUCACAGUCCUUUGUGAAGAUACUUGGAAUCUCCAAGAGGAGAAGAAGAGUGACAGCAGUGGUAAAACUGAGGUGAGAGUGUAAGAUGUGGUCUUGGAACCUCCCUCCUUAGCCCCCCUCCUGAACCUGAACAGCCCCAUCCGGUACAACACCAUGAGUUACAACUGUGGUGUGCAUUAUUCAUGGAAGGGCAAGCUUCAUUCUGAUUAUAGAUAUUCAAAAGCAUCAGGCACAGUUAAGAGGACUUAGGUGAAACUCUUCAUGU